CUGUCCCCAGAUAACCCCACAUAUGCAGGACAUCACGGCACCCUGCAUUUGCAUAUUUAAAGGCUAGGGUGAGAGGGCCAAUUUUUUGGCUGGCUACGUGAAUGACAUACCUGGUCAAACCAAUCCCCUGGGCCCUAUGCAAAUCAGACAUCACCUUCUCCAGCCUCCUAGUAUCCUAAUAUAACCGCCUGUUCCUGCCUGCCCCUGCCUGCCCCCUACCACCCCAGCACUCGGGGUUUCUUCUCUGGGCUUGGAGCCCCCUCCAUCCGUCUCUGUAUGGGGGAGCUUCUUCCUUCUUUAUUUUUUGCCUAUUUAACUCUCUGCACCUUAAAACCACUCCAUGUGUGUCCCAUAUUCUUUUAUCUAAAUCGGCGUGAGGCAAAGGACCCUGGUGUUCCUCCAGUCAUCGGAGCCUUAUCAGACAGUUAUUUUCAUUGCAAUCAUCCUGGCUUCCCAACUCAUAAACCUAGGAGGUAUUCUUGAAUCCUUCCUCCGUCUCGCCCACCCUUAACACAAUAUUAAGUAUCAGGAACAAAGGUCUAUUGCUGUACCUCCUCAACAGCUGGACUUUUUGAUAGUGCCUCUAUCAUAUCUAUUUCCCCUAAUACAUUCCAGGCACUGCCCCAGUUAAGCUGUCUUCAUCUGUUACACAGUCUAUUGUAAUUGUCUCCUCUCCAUCUCUUCUGCAUUGAGUCUUGGUGUGACCAAGCUAAACUCCAUAUUGUCUCAGCAUGAGCUUUCCAAAACCCCGUUUUCAUCACAUCGAGCUAUUUAAAAAAUGCUACAGGGUUCACUUUUUACUCGUCAGAUGGGCAAAACAUUUAAAAACAAAAUUUGAUGAAAACUUGACGUCGCCAAGAAUGUGCAGACUUCUGAGUGACGUGCAAGUGUGUCCAGAAUUGGUGGGUUCUUCGUCUCACCCACUUCAAGGAUGAAGCCACAGACCCUCAUGGUGAGUGUUACAGUUCUUAAAGAUAGUGUGUCCGGAGUUUCUUCCUUCUGAUGUUCGGAUGUGUUCACAGUUUCUUCCUUCUGGUGGGUUCGUGGUCUCUCUGGCUUCAGGAGCGAAGCGGCAGACCUUCGCAGUGAAUGUUACAGCUCUUAAGGCGGUGCAUCUGGAGUGUUCGUUACUGCUGUCUGGAAUUGUUCAUUCCUCUUGGUAGGUUUGUGAUUUCCCUGGCCUCAUGAGUGAAGCUGCAGACCUUCGCAGUGAGUGUUAUAGCUCAUAAAGGCAGUGCAGACCGAAAGAGUGAGCAGCACCAAGAUUUAUUGCAAACAGCAAAAGAACAAAGCUUCCACAGUGUGGAAGCCAAACGGAGUAGGUUGCU
rnacentral:lncRNA from 1 species